rnacentral:sRNA from 12 species
GCUUUGUUAUGGGUACAAAAUAACUCGGUGUAGAUUGGUUAGUCACCAUGCCGAGAUUAUAUGAAUGUUGAGUAUUGACAUAGAAGGAUACUUUUAUGCUGGUGCUUUCGAUAUAUUGUGAGAUAUAUUAAGUAGACGGAAACUGUCAAUAACAAAUAUAAGUGCAAAACAUUAUCGCAGCAAAAAGUAGAUUUCAGGACGUUGGUGUAAUAGACGCUCAGUGAGAAGAAUCUUGAGGCUUGGCAGGUGGAACUGUGCAAGAUUGUAGAGAAAAUCCAAAUAAACCAAUUGUGUCGUUGAUACGCAGAAAUGUGUGUAUAAGUCCUGUUUAUCGUCUGAGUAGCCCAAAUCGACAUUAAAAUAAAACACAUAUAAUAGAAGAAAUUUAUAAAACAAAAAAUCUUUUCUGAAUGACAUGGGUGAAAGAUAGAGGUAAUCAGCCCUCUUUAUUCUUGAUGCUUAAUGCAUUGCUAUGGAAGUAAUGAGGUAGCUCCUUAUUGCUCAGACUAUAGUAAAUUAUGACUGAAUAUUGGUACGAUUUUGUUUUUGUAAGGUGAAGACCUAUUUUUGUGUUCAUAGUAAA